UUAAAAAUACCUGUUUGUGGUUUUUUUUUCCUCCCAGGAGCUGAAAAUAACAGAAGCUACUUUAAUUAUAGUUUUGGUACAGUUUAUUGGUUACUUUUUCAAACUUUUGGGAAAAGUAUUCUGAUUGUUUUUCUGGCAAAUUCUCUUUUAAGAUCCUAUUUAUUUUCCCUUAGAUAAAGCCUUCAGCCUUCUUCAAAAUUCAAAUGAACGGAAAAGCCAAGGGAAAAAGAUGUUGCAAGAAAACCUUGUCAUUGUAUCCCAGUUCUUUUGGCUGGCACUGCAAUCCUUUCAUCUCUGGAUGCUAUGUGUUCUGUUGGCUCGGUGAAGGACCACACAGUUGGGGCAGCUCUGCUGGCUACAGGAGCUGAAACAGAUUACCUCUGAAUAUACAUUAAAAGACCAGUGGAAUUCAGCUUUUUUUUUGAGAUCACUCAAAGUUUCAUUUAUUCCAUUGGAGGAUCUGCACAUACAUAAAUGAGUAAUUCAAGAAAUUAUGCUGCUGUAAACACAGCAAUUGUCUUUCCAGCUCACUGCAGGAACAAUACCCCUGGUGUAAUUCCAGGAAGGAAGCAGAACUCAUGGAGUCAGCACAGCAGGGUUUGUCUCAGAGUCAUGUUUUACUCCCUACAUGGUGCAUUUCAUUUUGGUAUGCACUGAGCACACUCCCUA